CUUCACACGUAAUACAAUGGUCGGUACAGGAGGGUUGCCCAACCCGCGAGGGGGAGCCAAUCCCCAAACGGCCUCUCAGUUCGGGUAGUAGUCUGCAACUCGACUACUUGAAGUCGGAAUCGCUAGUAAUGGCGGAUCAGCAUGCCGCCGUGAAUACGUUCCCGGGUCUU
rnacentral:rRNA from 1 species